rnacentral:lncRNA from 1 species
GACACGUGCAGGGAUGGCUUGAAAAGGCAAAGUGGUGCCCGAAGCGCUGUCCUGUGUAGCCUGAGCACGCCUCGCUGAGGAUGAAGCUUGCUUUCCAGCAGUUCCCAAAGCUGUUGAAGCUGAAAUGCUGCGUCUGUUUUUUUUGUGUUGGGGUUGGACCUUGGUGAGUGCAGGGAUGGGUUUUAAGUGGGUGCAGCGGAGGGCCUGGCCCCAGUGUCCUGUAGUGUGUUUUGACCCACCAGCAUAGCCACUUGGUUCCCAGAUAUCCUACUGAAGUAAGUGAUUUUUUCCUGUGAGUGGAAUGGAGUUGAAUUAUUUUUUGGCGUGUAAUCUGUUCUGCUCCUAGUUCUUUCUAUGUAAAUGAAAGAUCGAGGUAAUUCCAGAUGGAAAAAGAAAUCAGUUGCUUACUUGGUUGUAUUGUCCUUUCAAUGUUCAAAGCUGCAGCAAAAGCAUGGGGAUUUUUGUUUCCAGAAACACCCCAGUUCUCCUGUCUGCACUCUGCAUGCUGUUGAGCUAAGCCUUAUAAAUAAGUAAAUAAAGUACAGCUGCUGCUCCUCCUCUUUUUGCUUUUUUGUGCUUUCUGUGCAUGCGACCUCUGCCGCCACCUGCUGGUGGAUGUAGUGGGAUUAUGUGGCAAGGUUUUGGUAGCAGGGGGCCAUAGGGGUGGUUUCUGUGAGAAAGAUCUAGAAGCUGCCCCAUGUUUGGGAAGGGCCCCAUUGUUUUCCAGAAAUGAGCCAAUAAGCGAUGUUGUUUUGCACCUCUGUGAGAGCAUAUUUAAGACAGGAAAAAAAACGCUGCGCCACACAGCAGCUGGGAGAGUGAAGGGAGUGAGGAACGGCAUCGAGCCCACGGAGUACCACGGUGGAGCAGGGUUCCACGCUGCAGCCCGUGGAGGAGACCACAGUGGAGCAGGUGGCCCUGCACCGAUGGAGGCUGCCGCCUGUGGAAGACCCCUGCCGGAGCAGAAUCCAGGCCGGACCUGUAGCCCGGGGAGAGGAGACCACGCAGGAGCAGGUGACCUGGCAGGAGCUGCUGCCCGUAGGGGAGCCAGGUUGGAGCAGUUUUCUCCUGAGGGAUGGACCCCGUGGUACGGACCCAUAUCUGGAG